rnacentral:tRNA from 1 species
GGGGCGAUAGUUCAGUGGUAGAACGGCGGUCUCCAAAGCCGCUCGCCGGGGUUCGAUUCCUCGUCGCCUCGCC